ACUCUUGGGAAUAUACCUAAGAGUAGAAUUGCUGGGUCAUACACUAACCCUAUGUUUAGCCUUUUAAGGAACUGCCACACUGGUUUCCAAAGGUGUUGUAUCAUAUUACAUAA